rnacentral:rRNA from 1 species
AGUGAACGCUGGCGGUAGGCCUAACACAUGCAAGUCGAACGGCAGCACAGUAAGAGCUUGCUCUUACGGGUGGCGAGUGGCGGACGGGUGAGGAAUACAUCGGAAUCUACUUUUUCGUGGGGGAUAACGUAGGGAAACUUACGCUAAUACCGCAUACGACCUACGGGUGAAAGCAGGGGAUCUUCGGACCUUGCGCGAUUGAAUGAGCCGAUGUCGGAUUAGCUAGUUGGCGGGGUAAAGGCCCACCAAGGCGACGAUCCGUAGCUGGUCUGAGAGGAUGAUCAGCCACACUGGGACUGAGACACGGUCCAGACUCCUACGGGAGGCAGCAGUUGGGAAUAUUGGACAAUGGGCGCAAGCCUGAUCCAGCCAUACCGCGUGGGUGAAGAAGGCCUUCGGGUUGUAAAGCCCUUUUGUUGGGAAAGAAAAGCAGCAGGUUAAUACCCCGCUGUUCUGACGGUACCCAAAGAAUAAGCACCGGCUAACUUCGUG